ACGGCCAGACUCCUACGGGAGGCAGCAGUGGGGAAUAUUGGACAAUGGGGGAAACCCUGAUCCAGCCAUGCCGCGUGUGUGAUGAAGGCCUUCGGGUUGUAAAGCACUUUCGCACGUGACGAUGAUGACGGUAACGUGAGAAGAAGCCCCGGCUAACUUCGUGCCAGCAGCCGCGGUAAUACGAAGGGGGCAAGCGUUGUUCGGAAUUACUGGGCGUAAAGGGCGCGUAGGCGGUGCUCUAAGUCAGGCGUGAAAGCCCUGGGCUCAACCCGGGAAUUGCGCUUGAUACUGGAGCGCUUGAAUCCAGGAGAGGUUGGUGGAAUUCCCAGUGUAGAGGUGAAAUUCGUAGAGAUUGGGAAGAACACCGGUGGCGAAAGCGGCCAACUGGACUGGUAUUGACGCUGAGGCGCGAAAGCGUGGGGAGCAAACAGGAUUAGAUACCCUGGUAGUCCACGCUGUAAACGAUGUGUGCUAGCCGUUGGGGCUCUUA
rnacentral:rRNA from 1 species